rnacentral:rRNA from 1 species
UACGUAGGGUGCAAGCGUUGUCCGGAAUUAUUGGGCGUAAAGAGCUCGUAGGCGGUCUGUCGCGUCUGCUGUGAAAACUCAGGGCUUAACCCUGAGCUUGCAGUGGGUACGGGCAGACUAGAGUGCGGUAGGGGAGACUGGAAUUCCUGGUGUAGCGGUGAAAUGCGCAGAUAUCAGGAGGAACACCGGUGGCGAAGGCGGGUCUCUGGGCCGGUAACUGACGCUGGAGGAGCGAAAGCCGUGGGGAGCGAACAGG